CCGCAGCGGCGCGUUUGCCACAGAGCACGCAGGGGUGGGUGCCACUGAUGCAACGAGCGCUUGACUUUCCUAUCGAGUCGGUCACCUUCCCGUCUCAUUUCUACCUCCUCACCGUCAACAAAGGCACCGUCUCAACUGUCGGCUUCUCACCGCAAAAAGCGCCAGUGCAGCUGACGGCGCCGCGCCAGUGUGCCGUGCUCGUGCUGCUAUCCCCCGCAGCGACGGAGAACGGCUUUCAGGAUAUGUGCAUCACGCUCACGAAGCGCACUGCGACGAUGGGCUCACACAAGAGCGAAAUGAGCUUCCCGGGUGGCCACGUCGAUGCCGACGAGACGCUACGCAACGCAGCACAGCGUGAGACGCUGGAGGAGGUGGGCCUCCCGCCAUCCGAGUACAAAAUUAUCGGGUCUCUGACGCCGAUUACCACGAGAGCACUAGACGCGCGUGUGACGCCGUUUGUGGCUGUCGCGACUAGCCCUGUGCAGCCAUACCGCGCGAGCCCCGCCGAGGUCGAUUCCAUUCACUACCUUCACAUGUCGACGCUGCUGUUGAGAGCGUCGACGGGGCACGCGCGGGUCAUCAAGUACCGCUCCUUCACGAGCGAUCGACCGUGCUUCUUUCCCUGCUUCUUUGCCAGCCCUGCUCAGACGGUCGUCUCCUCUGCGGUUUGUCGGUCUCCUAAGGCGACUGGGGUGGCGGAUGACUGCGGCUUCGAUCCGAUGCUGCCCGAGGACUUCCCGGGUGAGCUGGUCUGGGGCCUUACUUCCUUCGUGACUUGUGAACUCGUGGCUCGCGUCGCCAAGGCCAUCAUGGACGCGCCGGAAGCGAGCUCGGCAGCGGCGGUGAACGCACUCCUGACGCCUUCGAACGUGGUAGCGCGCGACCCUCUCGCGGACUCGCCGCAAUGAUCGGAGUUCUCCACUCAGCUCAUACUGGACUCCGCCAACUGAACGCCGGGGCCUGCGCGGUAAUUGUACGCGAAUCGUGGACACGGGCCUCUUGUCCGCUAUGUGUGUGCGCGUGGCUCCCGAUUUUUGGUUGUCUUCUUCGUGUUCUUUUCCUGGCACUUGUGUCUCUCUUUCUCUUUCUCUGUGCUGGCCUGCCGAGGAUCCCCUCACCAGAGCGGCAGAACCCGGCGGGAAAGCGAUGGCGGUGAUGGACGCCGCAAGACGGGAGGGGACGAAAGGGCAGAAGGACUGGACCUCAGUGUCGACACAUGGACAAUGAAACAGAAGCAACCGAAGCGGCAUGGCACCUACUUCAAGAAAUCCGCACCCUUCACAUGUCUCUGACGGGCAUGGAAGGACUAGUUCGU
rnacentral:misc_RNA from 1 species